rnacentral:rRNA from 1 species
UACGUAGGGGGCAAGCGUUGUCCGGAUUCAUUGGGCGUAAAGAGCGUGUAGGCGGCCAGGUAGGUCGGUUGUGAAAACUGGAGGCUCAACCUUCAGAGGUCGACCGAAACCAUCUGGCUAGAGUCCGGGAGAGGAGAGUGGAAUUCCUGGUGUAGCGGUGAAUGCGCAGAUAUACAGGAAGAACACCCGUGGCGAAAGCGGCUCUCUGGAACGGUACUGACGCUGAGACGCGAAAGCGUGGGGAGCGAACAGG